UACGUAGGGGGCAAGCGUUGUCCGGAUUUAUUGGGCGUAAAGAGCGUGUAGGCGGCCAGGUAGGUCCGCUGUGAAAUCUCGAGGCUCAACCUCGAGAUGUCGGCGGAAACCAUCUGGCUAGAGUCCGGAAGAGGAGAGUGGAAUUCCUGGUGUAGCGGUGAAAUGCGCAGAUAUCAGGAAGAACACCCGUGGCGAAGGCGGCUCUCUGGGACGGUACUGACGCUGAGACGCGAAAGCGUGGGGAGCGAACAGG
rnacentral:rRNA from 1 species